rnacentral:tRNA from 1 species
CCUGGUGAUGCAAGAGUUAAGCACUUGGCUGCUAACCAAGACAUUGGUGGUUCAAACCCACCCAGCAGCU